GCUGGGGGUGGCAUACCUGUAGUCCCAGCUUCUUGGGAGGCUGAGGUGGGAGGAUCGCUUGAGCCCAGGAGUUCUGGGCUGUAGUGACUAUGCCGAUCGGGUGUCAGCGCUAAGUUCGGCAUCAAUAUGGUGACCACCUGGGAGCAGAGGACCACCAGGUUGCCUAAGGAGGGGUGAACUGGCCCAGGUCGGAAGCGGAGCAGGUCAAAACUCCCGUGUUGAUCAAUAGUGGGAUCGCGCCUGUGAAUAGCUACUGCACUCCAGCCUGGGCAACAUAGUGAGACCCUAUCUCU
rnacentral:SRP_RNA from 1 species